UACGAAGGGGGCUAGCGUUGCUCGGAAUCACUGGGCGUAAAGGGUGCGUAGGCGGGUCUUUAAGUCAGGGGGGAAAUCCUGGAGCUCAACUCCAGAACUGCCUUUGAUACUGAAGAUCUUGAGUUCGGGAGAGGUGAGUGGAACUGCGAGUGUAGAGGUGAAAUUCGUAGAUAUUCGCAAGAACACCAGUGGCGAAGGCGAGUCCCUGGACAACUCCUGACACUGAGGCACGAAAGCUAGGGGAGCAAACAGG
rnacentral:rRNA from 1 species